rnacentral:siRNA from 1 species
AUUGUUCUAACGAGUGCUUCCACU